GUUUAAUUUUGUUGCCAACAAAUUGCUAUUACUAGAUGCAGCUGUGACUUUGCCAAUGAUUGGUCUGGCAUCUCUGGCCAUUAUUAUUUAACUAUGCAUAUAUCUAUAUAUGUUGCUUGUUAUAGUUAGUGAGAUAUUUAUUUUUGUCCCAGUGUUACCAUGUUGAUCUGUGCUGACUGUAGUGCUUGGUGGAGUGUCUCCUUGCAUGUGUACAUAUACACAGUAGUACCUUUCAUGUUACCUUGACAGGUACGGAAUAUCAAUACAAAAUUACCAGAUCUCAAUACAUAGAAAAGACAAAAUUGGUUAUUGUCCUUUGAAUAUUUUCAGCCCCCUUUUAACACUCUCAAUGGAUAUGAGGGAUUACCAUGUAUAUAGCUUAAAAUCUGCAAUAUUUUAGCUUUUUCACUGUGAUUGUUGUUAAUAAUUGUAUAUAGGGAUGCAUUUCUAGAUGGCGACAAUAUCACCAGCUUCAAAGUGACAGUUCAAUGCAUUGUCUGAUCAGCUACAGUUUGACAUUUCAAUGCAUUGUCCUGUUGGUUACAGUUUUACAUUUCAAUCCAUUCUCUGAUCAGCUACAGUUUGACAGUUUCAAUGCAUUGUCCCAUCAGCUACUAUUUGACAGUUUCAAUGCAUUGUCCCAUCAGCUACAGUUUGACAGUUUCAAUGCAUUCUCUGAUCAGCUACAGUUUGACAGUUCAGUGCAUUGUUCCAUCAGCUACAGUUUGACAGUUUCAAUGCAUUGUCCCAUCAGCUACAGUUUGACAGUUUCAAUGCAUUCUCUGAUCAGCUACAGUUUGACAGUUUCAAUGCAUUGUCUGAUCAGCUACAGUUUGACAGUUCAAUGCAUUGUCCCAUCAGCUACAGUUUGACAGUUUCAAUGCAUUGUCAGAUCAGCUACAGUUUGACAGUUUCAACGCAUUCUCUAAUCA